GCCGCCAUGCGAGUGCAUGAGGCCCUUGGGCUUGCCUGUCGUGCCGGAGGUGUAGAGGAUAUAGAGCGGGUCCUCGGCGUCCAUGCGCUCCGUCUCGGCCCUGGGCUGGGCGAUGGGGAGCGCCAUGAGGUCGUGCCACCAGUAGUCGCGGCCCGCCUCCAUCUCGACCUCCUGUCCCGUGCGCUUGUAGACGAUGACGGUCUGGACGACGGGCGAUUUCUGCACGGCCUCAGUCGCAAUAUCUUUGAGAUUGACCGUCUUGCCGCGCAGCCACGCGCCGUCCUGCGUGAUGAGCACUUUGGACUGGGCAUCCUCGAUGCGGUCAGCGAGGGCCUGAGCCGAGAAGCCUCCGUAGACGACGGAGUGAAUCGCGCCAAUCUUGGCACAGGCGAGCAUGGCGAUGGGCAGUUCGAGCACGCGGCCCAUGUAGAUGGUCACGGCGUCGCCCUUCUUCA
rnacentral:misc_RNA from 1 species